AACGCACGAGACCUGCGGACCUGCGGAGGGAUCAUUAACAAAUCGUAUUGUCUCGAGGGGAAGCACAUGAUGCUCCCCAAGGACAAACAACAAUUCGUGUUGGGAAGGGCCCCUUUGGAUGGUCAAGCUUCCUCCGGGAAGUCGUCCAUGAUGGAGUGCCUGACCCGUAUAAACACAAAACAUAAACAUUUAAAAUUGACAACUACUGGCGUACCAAAGGUGCAAACCUUUAACCAGAAA
rnacentral:misc_RNA from 1 species